rnacentral:lncRNA from 1 species
UAAGCGCUAGUGCUCUGUUUCUAGGAGAUUUUCUUGUAGAUCUGGUGUCACGGCGUUGCUAGGUCGUUUGUGGGGUGGAUUUGUGCUCGGUUCUUAGGUUUUCUUGUAGAUCUGGUGUUACAGGGUUGCUGGAUAGGUUUUCUUGUAGAUCUGGAAGUGAGGUCUUGUGCUUGUGCUCGGUUUGUAGAUCUGGUGUUUGUCUUAUUGUUUGAUGUCUGGGUUGUGGGCUCAAUUUCUAACUCGAUCUCUUGGCUGUGUAGGUGAUUCUCGUCAGCAGAUAUGCAGAUAUUCGUCAAGACCUUGACUGGCAAGACAAUCACCUUGGAGGUGGAGAGCUCUGAUACCAUCGAUAAUGUGAAGACUAAGAUCCAGGACAAGGAGGGAAUUCCUCCUGACCAGCAGCGCCUCAUCUUUGCGGGCAAGCAGCUCGAGGACGGUAGGACGUUGGCGGACUAUAACAUCCAGAAGGAGUCGACUCUCCACUUGGUGCUUCGUCUUCGUGGAGGGAUGCAGAUCUUCGUCAAGACGCUCACUGGGAAGACAAUCACUCUCGAGGUGGAGAGCUCGGACACCAUCGACAACGUCAAGACAAAGAUCCAGGACAAGGAGGGGAUCCCACCGGACCAGCAGCGUUUGAUCUUUGCCGGGAAGCAGCUCGAGGACGGUCGGACCCUUGCGGAUUACAACAUCCAGAAGGAAUCAACUCUUCACUUGGUGCUUCGUCUUCGUGGAGGGAUGCAGAUCUUCGUCAAGACUCUGACUGGCAAGACCAUCACCCUUGAGGUGGAGAGCUCGGACACCAUCGACAACGUCAAGACUAAGAUCCAGGACAAGGAGGGUAUCCCACCGGACCAGCAGCGUUUGAUCUUUGCCGGCAAGCAGCUGGAGGAUGGACGCACUUUGGCGGACUACAACAUCCAGAAGGAGUCGACUCUCCACUUGGUGCUUCGUCUCCGUGGAGGGAUGCAGAUCUUCGUCAAGACCCUGACUGGCAAGACAAUUACGCUUGAGGUGGAGAGCUCGGACACCAUCGAUAAUGUCAAGACUAAGAUCCAGGACAAGGAGGGCAUCCCCCCGGACCAGCAGCGCUUGAUCUUUGCUGGAAAGCAGCUCGAGGAUGGACGAACUCUCGCGGACUACAACAUCCAAAAGGAGUCGACACUCCACCUGGUUCUUCGUCUGCGUGGAGGGAUGCAGAUCUUCGUCAAGACCCUGACUGGCAAGACCAUCACGCUUGAGGUGGAGAGCUCGGACACCAUCGACAACGUCAAGACAAAGAUCCAGGACAAGGAGGGGAUCCCACCGGACCAGCAGCGUCUCAUCUUUGCGGGGAAGCAGCUCGAGGAUGGACGAACUCUCGCCGACUACAACAUCCAGAAGGAAUCGACGCUCCACUUGGUGCUCCGUCUACGUGGAGGGAUGCAGAUAUUCGUCAAGACCCUGACUGGCAAGACCAUCACGCUUGAGGUGGAGAGCUCGGACACCAUCGACAACGUCAAGACAAAGAUCCAGGACAAGGAGGGGAUCCCACCGGACCAGCAGCGUCUCAUCUUUGCGGGGAAGCAGCUCGAGGAUGGACGAACUCUCGCCGACUACAACAUCCAGAAGGAAUCGACGCUCCACUUGGUGCUCCGUCUACGUGGAGGGAUGCAGAUAUUCGUCAAGACCCUGACUGGCAAGACCAUCACGCUUGAGGUGGAGAGCUCGGACACCAUCGACAAUGUCAAGACCAAGAUCCAGGACAAGGAGGGGAUCCCACCGGACCAGCAGCGUUUGAUCUUUGCUGGCAAGCAGCUCGAGGACGGGAGGACAUUGGCGG